UCUUCUUCUCUAACAAUCUGUGCAAGGAUGAGCGACGAUUACAGUUUUUGAAUGACGAAGAUUUGAGUAUCUUCAAAAUGUCUAUGAUCCGAUAUCCGAGGUCGCGAAAGUACGACCAUUGUUGUCAGAAGAGAUCAACCCGUCGAUGUCGAGUGGAAGCAAAAAAAGAAACCGUGAUUUAGAUCCCGGUAACUCAAGAAGCUAAUGGAAAAGUCGGGAAGAAACAACGCCGGUGUCCGCGAACCUUUUAUGCCGGUGAAUCAUCAACUUCCCGGCUACAAGAAUGUUUGAAAGGGAAAACCGUGGCGGGAAUGGCGAAGGUUUACAAGGAUCGAAUUAGCAGGCGUAUAAAGAACGAGAAAAGGUGAGGAUGAUCUUCACCUCGGAAGAGAAUAAUACUUUAUAAUAGAUGCAUUUUGAAAAUCUUUGUAUCAACAAUACGUAUGCAUUGUUUCGUAUCUCUUGCUUUCUGUAUAUUUGGUAAAAUGAAGGACAAGGAAGCAGACAAGGACGUUAUUAUAAGGAUAGUUCGUAACAUGAUGGCCAUUAAUGCCUCUCAUCUCUUACCACGAGUUUUCGGCUCCCUCGAGCAAAUCACAACGCAAUGGCCAAUUCGACCUGACCUCCAACGUAUGAAGCAAAAGAUUCAAGAAAUCGAGAAGGACGACAGUUCAACAGACGAGGCAAAACGAAGAAUAUUCGUUGAAGUAGAAUAUGAGUUGGAGAGAAUAGAUCAAGAACGGCUAAAGGAUUCAACAAAAGCAGGGAACCUUGAUGCAGUCUUCACGGUAUGUAUAUUCAACAAAAGCAGGGAACCUUGAUGCAGUCUUCACGGAUUUUAGCAUGGGGACUCUACAAAAGAGGUACCAUAUACAUGCAUAUAUACAUAUGUGCAUGCAUAGAUUGCAUAUGAUUCAUGUUUUCAAUAUAAUGCAUAUUAUAUGAUAGAAUACAUAAAAAUGUAAAAUUAAAAUUCAUGUUGUUUUAUAUUUUUCAAAUACAUAUCACAUCAUUCUUAUAAAUUAUAACCUGUUUUUUUUUUUUAAAUUGUUCUAGCUAGCUUUCUUCAGCAUGUCUGUGGCUGAUGUCGACGAAACUACAGCAACUAAUCAUCUUAUUAUUGUUGAUGAAGAUCAAGAUCAGCAUCAUGGAAGUUUGCUAACUCCUCAAGUGUUACACUCUAAUUUUAGCGAUCUGAAAAACCAACCUUACGACAAAACGCAACAGUUAUGCCACCUUCAUAUCACCUACGACCGCGGCUCGCCACACCAUUGAGCACACUUUCAUCAUGAGCUGCCUCCACUAAAAGUGCUUGAGAUUCUUCAACUGUGCAAGUCACCUACAUUGUCAUGCCAUCAAUCUACAAGAUUACAUCAGCGUCGCUACAAAGAGAUAGGAUGUGACCCUACCGCCAGCAAGAUACUUACACGUAACAUCACUUAUGUCUCAUAUAUAAACUUUCUCACCUUGAAGGAGGGAUGAUCCUCACUCCCUCACUCUCUUCUCUCUCUUAUUAUCCUUCAUCACAUUAUCACAACAGCUCUUCGCCUUUCAAGGGUGAAGCACUAGUCACCUCUGUCAACUCUUCCCCUUGUUGAUUCCUGAUAUCAACAACAAAUUGUAUAAUUCAAGUUUUCCUGCGUCUCUAAUCCUGCAUAGACUCUUGCAUUUAAAACACUUUCUUCAACAUGGCCAUGGCUUAUUAGUGCUGUUCAAGAUCAAGAUCAUGGAAGUUUAUUUACUUGUGAGGAGUUGCAGUACUCUACUUUUAGUGAAUUAGAAAACCAACUCUGUGACAAGGACAACAACGAAAUGGAUGUUACAGACUUCCAUGGCUUAGAACAAGCAUUGAACAACAUUGGCUGGGAUAAAACACCAGACUACCUCAAACCUAUUGCGACCCGAAUCGAAAAUGUUCGUGGAAAAGCUACCGAUUUUUGCUAUAACGUUAUUCAAGUUCAGGUCUGUGCCGCAAUCAAAGAGAUGGAAGAGGUAUCAAUUAAGGAAUUAAACCGGGACACAUUGAAAAAAUGGGCAGCGACACUCAACCAGGCUAAGGGAUUUGGUUUUGAAGUGGGAUUUGCUAACAAUCUGUUGCAGAAGAAUCUGUGUUCCUACUUUUGUCACUCGAGGAAUUUUGGACGAAACUGAAAAAGAAAAACAGGGUUUUGGAAAUCAAAGGUGGCUGCUGAGCUCUCAUGUUUUGCAGUUGCAGUUGCCGCAAAAUCUUUGGUGGCUGCUGAGCUCUCAUGUUUUGCAGUUGCAGUUGCCGCAAAAUCUUUUGACUUCAACAAAGCAAGGAACUUUGAACCAAUCUUCACUGCUAACAAUAUAUAUGGUAUGCAUAGUUCUUAUCAUUCAUAUUAACCAACAUAACAACAUUUUUAUUAUUAAGUCUAUCUUUUAAUCAUUUAACUUUAAAAUGUUAUAAAAUGAUCAUUGAACUAUUUAAAAGUUUUCAUUUAAGUCACUAAAUUAUUAAAAUCGUCACUAUAUCACAUUCUCUGUUCACACCGCAAACACCAAUCGAAGUUUUCCUUCUCAUUUUCUUCUAAAAUGUAUACUCUUAUUAAUAGUUCAAUGAUUGUAGGUGUAAUUUAUCCUAAAUCAAAUUAUAAUUAUUUCA